rnacentral:rRNA from 1 species
UACAGAGGGUGCGAGCGUUAAUCGGAAUUACUGGGCGUAAAGCGUGCGUAGACGGUUAUUUAAGUCGGGUGUGAAAGCCCCGGGCUCAACCUGGGAAUUGCAUUCGAGACUGAAUAGCUAGGGUACGGUAGAGGGAAGUGGAAUUUCCGGUGUAGCGGUGAAAUGCGUAGAUAUCUGGAGGAACACCGGUGGCGAAGGCGGCGUCCUGGACCAACACUGACACUGAUGAGCGAAAGCCAGGGGAGCAAACGGG